rnacentral:rRNA from 1 species
AAAAAUUUGGUGGUUUCUCCUACUUACGAGCGAGAGGCGGGAAGCACUCACAUUUGAUAUCUGGCCCUUUCAGUGCCCGAGUUGUAAUUUGUAGAAUUUGUCUUUGAUUAGGUCCUUGUCUAUGUUCCUUGGAACAGGACGUCAUAGAGGGUGAGAAUCCCGUUUGGCGAGGAUACCUUUUCUCUGUAAGACUUUUUCGAAGAGUCGAGUUGUUUGGGAAUGCAGCUCAAAGUGGGUGGUAAAUUCCAUCUAAAGCUAAAUAUUGGCGAGAGACCGAUAGCGAACAAGUACAGUGAUGGAAAGAUGAAAAGAACUUUGAAAAGAGAGUGAAAAAGUACGUGAAAUUGUUGAAAGGGAAGGGCAUUUGAUCAGACAUGGUGUUUUUUGCAUGCACUCGCCUCUCGUGGGCUUGGGCCUCUCAAAAAUUUCACUGGGCCAACAUCAAUUCUGGCAGCAGGAUAAAUCAUUAAGAAUGUAGCUACUUCGGUAGUGUUAUAGCUUUUUGGAAUACUGUUAGCCGGGAUUGAGGACUGCGCUUCGGCAAGGAUGUUGGCAUAAUGGUUAAAUGCCGCCCGUCUUGAACCCACGGACCA